AGAGUUUGAUCCUGGCUCAGGAUGAACGCUAGCGACAGGCCUAACACAUGCAAGUCGAGGGGCAGCGGGGAGGUAGCAAUACCUUUGCCGGCGACCGGCGCACGGGUGAGUAACACGUAUGCAAUCCACCUGUAACAGGGGGAUAACCCGGAGAAAUCCGGACUAAUACCCCAUAAUAUGGGCGCUCCGCAUGGAGAGUCCAUUAAAGAGAGCAAUCUUGGUUACAGACGAGCAUGCGCUCCAUUAGCCAGUUGGCGGGGUAACGGCCCACCAAGGCGACGAUGGAUAGGGGUUCUGAGAGGAAGGUCCCCCACAUUGGAACUGAGACACGGUCCAAACUCCUACGGGAGGCAGCAGUGAGGAAUAUUGGUCAAUGGUCGGCAGACUGAACCAGCCAAGUCGCGUGAGGGAAGACGGCCCUACGGGUUGUAAACCUCUUUUGUCGGAGAGUAAAGUGCGCUACGCGUAGCGUAUUGCAAGUAUCCGAAGAAAAAGCAUCGGCUAACUCCGUGCCAGCAGCCGCGGUAAUACGGAGGAUGCGAGCGUUAUCCGGAUUUAUUGGGUUUAAAGGGUGCGUAGGCGGCACGCCAAGUCAGCGGUGAAAUUUCCGGGCUCAACCCGGAAUGUGCCGUUGAAACUGGCGAGCUAGAGUGCACAAGAGGCAGGCGGAAUGCGUGGUGUAGCGGUGAAAUGCAUAGAUAUCACGCAGAACCCCGAUUGCGAAGGCAGCCUGCUAGGGUGCGACAGACGCUGAGGCACGAAAGCGUGGGUAUCGAACAGGAUUAGAUACCCUGGUAGUCCACGCAGUAAACGAUGAAUACUAACUGUUUGCGAUACAAUGUAAGCGGUACAGCGAAAGCGUUAAGUAUUCCACCUGGGGAGUACGCCGGCAACGGUGAAACUCAA
rnacentral:rRNA from 1 species